rnacentral:rRNA from 1 species
UACAGGGGGGGGCAAGCGUUGUUCGGAAUUACUGGGCGUAAAGGGCUCGUAGGCGGCCUGCUAAGUCGGAUGUGAAAUCCCUCGGCUCAACCGAGGAACUGCAUCCGAUACUGGCGGGCUUGAAUCCGGGAGAGGGAUGUGGGAAUUCCAGGUGUAGCGGUGAAAUGCGUAGAUAUCUGGAGGAACACCGGUGGCGAAGGCGGCAUCCUGGACCGGUAUUGACGCUGAGGCGCGAAAGCUAGGGGAGCAAACGGG